rnacentral:lncRNA from 1 species
UUAGUGAGGAGGUCUUAAAUAGAAAUUUGACCAAUUUUAAGUUCAUGGACAAAAUUAGGAGAUGGAAGGAAUUUUUGGAAAGUUUAGUAGUAAGGGUAUUUUGGUCAUUUAGUUAUUAAAAUGAAUUAAAAACAAAAUUAAAAGCCAAUUUUUGUCCAUCUUCAUUAGGCCGAAAUUUCAAGGGUUCUCCAUAGCUAGGGUUUGUUUCAAGCUUCCAAGCUCCAUAGUAAGUGAUUCCAAGCCCCGUUUUUAAUGUUCUUUACAUUUUUGGAAUCCCA